ACGGGGUUCUGGUAGCGUUUUUGGCUUUUCCAUUCUUCCUCUCUGCUUAAAAAGCGCAAACACGUAGCGGUGGAUACCCGCUGGUGGCUGAGGCCCUUGGUAUGCUACCAAUUCUUUGCCUUCCAUUAGAGAAAUCAAUAGUAUAACAUUACUUGAUCAAACUAAAAAAUAUACCACAAAAUACUUCGAAUGAAGAUUAUUAAAGCUAGGGAAUGAUUGAUCAUAAAGUGAAAUUUUUUUUUUUUUUUAAAAAAAAUAACCUUCGGAGGCAUCCCCACCCUCUGGGAUGUUCACCACAAUCCUGCAACGGCGCCAAAACAAAACAAAAAAAAAAAAAAUUGCCAAAACGAUUCCAAGUUAAAAUUCAGGUAACCGUAUCCGAGGCCAGACAAUUUUACAUGUAUAAGUUGAUAUACAAAGAAGAAGAAAAAGUGUACCAAUGAAGCCACUCUCUGAAAGUCGGAUCACUUGGACUUGGCGCAUCAGGAUCGACCAUAACCUGCAACAGAACAAGAACCGACCCUUCAAUGACUAAAUGCAUGCUACUGAAAAUUUCAACCUAAAAGAUAAAAAAAGUGAGAGAGAGAGAGAGAGAGAACAUUUGAAUCCUCAUAAACUUUUCGUAAAUUGUACUUGAUCAUUGAACUCAUGCAAAAGUUUGCAGGGUUUUUUUUCCUUUUUCUUUUUCUUUCUUUCAAUUUAUGUACUUGUAUGUGAGUAUAUACUAAUGAGCAUGUAUGAGAUGGCACACUUACAAGGGUAAAGAGACUGGCGGCACGGCCACGAGAGCCAUUUACGCGAACCGCAGGCUUGUGAGCAGAAUGGGAUGGCUUUAUCUCACAACCAUUUCCGACCUGU
rnacentral:lncRNA from 1 species